CCGUGUUCGGCUGUCAAAAUGUUACCAGUCUAGAAACGUUGGGCUGUCGGUAUGUGAGCGCAGCAUGAAUAUUUUCCUUGCGGACGGUCGAUGUGGUAGUUUAAUCAUAUUUACGCUUUGCCGAGAGAAAAUGUGCUCUUUUUUGUGCGCAUCAGCGAUCGCUAAGCCCCUGGGCCUGUGCAACGCUGCUAGCUAGCUGUAUCUCUCGUGCGGUGCGGCGUUGUUGGUUAUCGUAGUUCGGUCCAUUCGUGCUCUUUGUUCCCGGCUCAUUAGCAGCCUCUGGUACUCUCGCCGAUCUCGCAGCGGUUCACAGUGCACGGAAGAAUGUGUUGGAAAUUGUACUAUUACGUUCAUCCGCAAUUUAACAGUGUUUAUGCCGGAAGGACAGUUCGUGCAGUCGAUGCCGCCGGACCUGACACGAAGGAGCGUUUGCCGAGUAUGUCUCGAAAGGGAUGUCACGAUUUCGUGAGACGGAUGCAAUCUCUGCACCACAUGGGAGCCUGUGGCAAAAUGCAGUCUGAGCAGCCCGACAAGGAAUCUGAUCUGCUUGCUUUGACAAGGUAUGGCUGGGCCUGCAGAGAAAGUGUAAGCAGACUGUGCUGUGUUGCUGAUCAGUGCUGAUCUCCACGCCUGAGUUGGUCCCCCAACAUCCAGGCACCAGCGUGCUUUGCUUCAUCAUUGACAAGGUGCGCGGCAAGCUCUCACUCAAGCAACACAUUCCAGUGGUCUUCUGUCAACAGACUGGGUCUAUUGAAGUACCAUUACAAGGUCCAAUAAACAACGCUUGCGAGAUGUGUGACGUGCUCUUGCUUAAAAUCGGAGGACUUCACUA